GCGUGAGUGAUGAAGGCCUUCGGGUCGUAAAGCUCUGUUGAAUGGGAAUAAAAAAUGAAGGUACCAUUUAAGAAAGGAUCGGCUAACUUCGUGCCAGCAGCCGCGGUAAUACGAGGGAUCCUAGCGUUGUUCGGAAUCAUUGGGCGUAAAGAGUAUGUAGGCGGCCUAGUAAGUCAGUUGUGAAAGCCCCGGGCUCAACCCGGGAAGUGCAAUUGAUACUGCUUGGCUUGAAUGUGGAAGAGGGCAGUAGAAUUCCAGGUGUAGUGGUGAAAUACCGUAGAUAUCUGGAGGAAUACCGGUGGCGAAGGCGGCUGCCUGGUCCUACAUUGACGCUGAGAUACGAAAGCGUGGGGAGCAAACAGGAUUAGAUACCCUGGUAGUCCACGCUGUAAACGAUGAACACUUGUUGUUGGAGGUAUUGACCCCUUCAGUGACGAAGCUAACGCGUUAAGUGUUCCGCCUGGGGAGUACGGUCGCAAGAUUA
rnacentral:rRNA from 1 species